AUGCAAGGCGCCAUCUUAGCCUUGCCUUCCCAUGAUCGCUCCCACACCUGUCACGUUCGUGAUCGGCCUCCUCAACUAUGUAUCGAUCGAAAGGCAGGGCGGCAGAGCCCCCAACCGACGGGAGUAGUUACGUCCAGUAUGUCCCCCCUCGAUUCCCGACAUGCUAUGAUACCAGGGUGGGUAGGAGCGGGUCGAGUCCGUAUCACCGCGGAACAACUGCAGCGUCCGGAUCCGAUCUAUCUACUCGGCAAUUCAUUCGGUGACUUCAUGGUCGCCAAAGAAGCCCCAAGAAGCAUCAAACAUUUCCGAUGA
rnacentral:rRNA from 1 species